GACAGAGGUGCCAAGCGUUAGGCGGAAUCACUGGGCUUAAAGCGUGUGUAGGCGGAUUCCUAAGUACCUUGUGAAAUCCCACGGCUCAACCGUGGAACUGCUCGGUAUACUGGGUAUCUUGAGCCACUUAGGGGCGACCGGAACAAAUGGUGGAGCGGUGAAAUGCGCAGAUAUCAGUUGGAACGCCAAUGGUGAAAACAGGUCGCUGGGAGUGUGCUGACGCUGAGACACGAAAGCCAGGGGAGCAAACGGG
rnacentral:rRNA from 1 species